UACGUAGGGUGCGAGCGUUAAUCGGAAUUACUGGGCGUAAAGCGUGCGUAGGUGGUUCGUUGUGUCUGUGGUGAAAGCCCCGGGCUUAACCUGGGAAUGGCCAUGGAAACUGGCGAGCUGGAGUGUGGCAGAGGAGGGUGGAAUUCCGCGUGUAGCAGUGAAAUGCGUAGAGAUGCAGAGGAACACCGAUGGCGAAGGCAGCCCUCUGGGCUAACACUGACGCUGAGGCACGAAAGCGUGGGGAGCAAACAGG
rnacentral:rRNA from 1 species